GAUGAACGCUGGCGGCGUGCCUAAUACAUGCAAGUCGAGCGAACAGAUGAGGAGCUUGCUCCUCUGACGUUAGCGGCGGACGGGUGAGUAACACGUGGAUAACCUACCUAUAAGACUGGGAUAACUUCGGGAAACCGGAGCUAAUACCGGAUAAUAUAUUGAACCGCAUGGUUCAAUAGUGAAAGACGGUUUUGCUGUCACUUAUAGAUGGAUCCGCGCCGCAUUAGCUAGUUGGUAAGGUAACGGCUUACCAAGACAACGAUGCGUAGCCGACCUGAGAGGGUGAUCGGCCACACUGGAACUGAGACACGGUCCAGACUCCUACGGGAGGCAGCAGUAGGGAAUCUUCCGCAAAGGGCGAAAGCCUGACGGAGCAACGCCGCGUGAGUGAUGAAGGUCUUCGGAUCGUAAAACUCUGUUAUUAGGGAAGAACAAAUGUGUAAGUAACUAUGCACGUCUUGACGGUACCUAAUCAGAAAGCCACGGCUAACUACGUG
rnacentral:rRNA from 1 species